UACGGGGGGAGCAAGCGUUGUUCGGAUUUACUGGGCGUAAAGGGCGCGUAGGCGGCCACCGCAAGUCGACUGUGAAAUCUCCGGGCUUAACCCGGAAAGGUCAGCCGAUACUGCGGGGCUAGAGUGCAGAAGGGGCAACUGGAAUUCUCGGUGUAGCGGUGAAAUGCGUAGAUAUCGGGAGGAACACCGGUGGCGAAGGCGGUUCUCUGGGCCUUACCUGACGCUGAGGAGCGAAAGCGUGGGGAGCGAACAGG
rnacentral:rRNA from 1 species